rnacentral:rRNA from 1 species
GAGUUUGAUCGUGGCUCAGGAUGAACGCUAGCGGCAGGCCUAAUACAUGCAAGACGAACGGUAAGUUGUGUAGCAAUACAUGACCUAGAGUGUCGUAAGGGUGCGUAACACGUAUGCAAUCUGCCCGGAACUGGAGGAUAGCUCGCCGAAAGGCGAAUUAACACUCCAUAGGAUAGUAGAGUGGCAUCACUUAGCUAUUAAAACUACGGUGGUUUCGGAUGAGCAUGCGGAUGAUUAGCUAGUUGGUGAGGUAACGGCUCACCAAGGCGAUGAUCAAUAGGGGAACUGAGAGGUUGAUCCCCCACACUGGCACUGAGAUACGGGCCAGACUCCUACGGGAGGCAGCAGUAGGGAAUAUUGGACAAUGGUUGCAAGACUGAUCCAGCCAUGCCGCGUGCAGGAAGAAGGCUUUCUGAGUUGUAAACUGCUUUUGCC